AAGAUGGACAGGGCUGCAGACAGAGCUCUUUUCUCACCACAGAGCCUCUGGAGGGCAGGAAAGGAGGCUCAGGAGUGGGGACACCACUCCCAGCAGCUUGGAUGCAGCUCUGCUCUGGAUGCAGGUGAGGAGGGAUGGGAGUGGUGGGAUCCUGCUGCGGGACGUGACACCCUCUCCAAAACAUCACCCCAAGCAGGGAACUCCCAGCCAUCCAGAUUUUGGGAGACCUUGGCAACACCAGCAUCAUUUAGAGUGCACCCAGGACUUGGAAAAGGGGUGAGAAGGGAAGACAGUCUGCAGGCUGCUCUGAGGGCGAAGACGCUGAGGUUUUCAAAGAGGACAGUGAAGGUAGGAAAGAAAAGGCAGCGUUAACUGCUCUGAAGGGAGCAAAGGGAUGGGAAACAGCAGAGGAGAAAUUAGGGAAGUUCAAAUACAUUGAGAAUAUUGGGGGCAAGAGCAAAAACAACCUCAG
rnacentral:lncRNA from 12 species